rnacentral:rRNA from 1 species
AGAGUUUGAUCCUGGCUCAGGAUGAACGCUGGCGGCGUGCCUAACACAUGCAAGUCGAGCGAUUUACUUCGGUAAAGAGCGGCGGACGGGUGAGUAACGCGUGGGUAACCUGCCCUGUACACACGGAUAACAUACCGAAAGGUAUGCUAAUACGAGAUAAUAUACUUUUAUCUCAUGGUAGAAGUAUCAAAGCUCUGGCGGUACAGGAUGGACCCGCGUCUGAUUAGCUAGUUGGUAAGGUAACGGCUUACCAAGGCGACGAUCAGUAGCCGACCUGAGAGGGUGAUCGGCCACAUUGGAACUGAGACACGGUCCAAACCCCUACGGGAGGCAGCAGUGGGGAAUAUUGCACAAUGGGCGAAAGCCUGAUGCAGCAACGCCGCGUGAGCGAUGAAGGCCUUCGGGUCGUAAAGCUCUGUCCUCAAGGAAGAUAAUGACGGUACUUGAGGAGGAAGCCCCGGCUAACUACGUG